AAGUCAAACUAAUCUGAUCUCUCUUCAUCUCCUGACUUAAUUUAUUGAAUAAAAUAAGAUUCUUACGGAACAACCACGGUCUUCCUUCCAAAAUUGACUCCAAAUCUUCUUCUAAUUCAAAAACUAUCAAGUUUAGAUUUUGCCCUACCCUCUGAAUCUCAAACUUUUUCUUGGUCUUCCAAAUACUCCUCAUCUGUGCCCUAAAGCUUU
rnacentral:lncRNA from 1 species